GCCCUAGUAGCUUAGAUAAAGCACCGGCCUUGUAAGCCGGAGAUCGGAGGUUAAAAUCCCCCCUAGUGCU
rnacentral:tRNA from 1 species